rnacentral:tRNA from 1 species
GGAGGAUUAGCUCAGCUGGGAGAGCACCUGCCUUACAAGCAGGGGGUCACAGGUUCGAGCCCUGUUAUCCUCCA